rnacentral:rRNA from 1 species
CUGUCGUGGGCGCAGGAAAUUUGAGAGGAGCUGUCCUUAGUACGAGAGGACCGGGAUGGACGCACCGCUGGUGUACCAGUUGUUCCGCCAGGAGCAUAGCUGGGUAGCCAAGUGCGGACGGGAUAAGCGCUGAAAGCAUCUAAGCGUGAAGCCCCCCUCAAGAUGAGAUUUCCCAAUUAGUAAGACCCCUGAAAGACGAUCAGGUUGAUAGGUUCGAGGUGGAAGCGCAGCAAUGUGUGGAGCUGACGAAUACUAAUCGGUCGAGGGCUUAUCCUA